UGGGGAAUUUUGGACAAUGGGGGCAACCCUGAUCCAGCAAUGCCGCGUGUGUGAAGAAGGCCUUCGGGUUGUAAAGCACUUUUGUCCGGAAAGAAAACGCCGUGGUUAAUACCCGUGGCGGAUGACGGUACCGGAAGAAUAAGCACCGGCUAACUACGUGCCAGCAGCCGCGGUAAUACGUAGGGUGCAAGCGUUAAUCGGAAUUACUGGGCGUAAAGCGUGCGCAGGCGGUCCGCUAAGACAGAUGUGAAAUCCCGGCUUAACUGGGAACUGCAUUUGUGACUGGCGGGCUAGAGUAUGGCAGAGGGGGGUAGAAUUCCACGUGUAGCAGUGAAAUGCGUGGAGAUGUGGAGGAAUACCGAUGGCGAAGGCAGCCCCCUGGGCCAAUACUGACGCUCAUGCACGAAAGCGU
rnacentral:rRNA from 1 species